rnacentral:misc_RNA from 1 species
UUAAGUUCAGCGGGUAAUCCUACCUGAUUUGAGGUCUAAAUCAAAGAUGACUAGAGGGAUUAGAAGCUUCUCUUGUAUUGAUCACGGCCACCAAGUAUUGCUACAAAGUGUCCUCAGCGAAUAGUCUAUUACACUGAGUCAAUCCGAGUUCGAAUUAAAGAUGCUAAUGUAUUACGAACGAGCUACGCCAACAAGGGCCA